rnacentral:lncRNA from 1 species
AGGCAAAGCCUUUCUGCAGUCGAAGUUGGGGGCGAGGCCCGGCUCCUGUAGGAGUUCAGACUGAAAUCUGGUAGUUGUAGGAAUCUGCCGUUGGAGAAGUUCAGCCGUUGGCGAAGUCCGGGAUAGUUCGAAUUGGAGUUGAACCUGGCUGGAAGGAGUCCAGAAGGAGCUCGGGGAGUAGCUGAUAGUCGUAGAAAGUCGGCUGGUGGCGGAGCUCAAUGAGCGCUU